GGCUCAGAGGAACGCUGGCGGCGUGUCUAAUACAUGCAAGUCGAGCGAAUCAAUAGGAGCUUGCUCCUGUUGGUUAGCGGCGGACGGGUGAGUAACACGUGGGCAACCUGCCUGUAAGACUGGGAUAACACCGGGAAACCGGUGCUAAUACCGGAUAAUUCUUCUCUUCACAUGAAGGGAAGCUGAAAGUCGGUUUCGGCUGACACUUACAGAUGGGCCCGCGGCGCAUUAGCUAGUUGGUGAGGUAACGGCUCACCAAGGCGACGAUGCGUAGCCGACCUGAGAGGGUGAUCGGCCACACUGGGACUGAGACACGGCCCAGACUCCUACGGGAGGCAGCAGUGGG
rnacentral:rRNA from 1 species